CGAAAGCCUGACGGAGCAACGCCGCGUGAGGGAGGAAGGUCUUUGGAUUGUAAACCUCUUUUCUCUAGGAAGAUAAUGACGGUACUAGAGGAAUCAGCAUCGGCUAACUCCGUGCCAGCAGCCGCGGUAAUACGGGGGAUGCAAGCGUUAUCCGGAAUUAUUGGGCGUAAAGCGUCCGUAGGCGGCCGAGCAAGUUUGUUGUUAAAGCGUGCAGCUCAACUGCAUAAGGGCAAUGAAAACUGUUUGGCUAGAGUGUGGUAGGGGUAGAGGGAAUUCCCGGUGUAGCGGUGAAAUGCGUAAAUAUCGGGAAGAACACCAGUGGCGAAAGCGCUCUACUGGGCCACAACUGACGCUGAUGGACNAAAGCUAGGGGAGCG
rnacentral:rRNA from 1 species